rnacentral:rRNA from 1 species
UACAUGCAGUCGAGCGAAUGGAUUAAGAGCUUGCUCUUAUGAAGUUAGCGGCGGACGGGUGAGUAACACGUGGGUAACCUGCCCAUAAGACUGGGAUAACUCCGGGAAACCGGGGCUAAUACCGGAUAACAUUUUGAACCGCAUGGUUCGAAAUUGAAAGGCGGCUUCGGCUGUCACUUAUGGAUGGACCCGCGUCGCAUUAGCUAGUUGGUGAGGUAACGGCUCACCAAGGCAACGAUGCGUAGCCGACCUGAGAGGGUGAUCGGCCACACUGGGACUGAGACACGGCCCAGACUCCUACGGGAGGCAGCAGUAGGGAAUCUUCCGCAAUGGACGAAAGUCUGACGGAGCAACGCCGCGUGAGUGAUGAAGGCUUUCGGGUCGUAAAACUCUGUUGUUAGGGAAGAACAAGUGCUAGUUGAAUAAGCUGGCACCUUGACGGUACCUAACCAGAAAGCCACGGCUAACUACGUGCCAGCAGCCGCGGUAAUACGUAGGUGGCAAGCGUUAUCCGGAAUUAUUGGGCGUAAAGCGCGCGCAGGUGGUUUCUUAAGUCUGAUGUGAAAGCCCACGGCUCAACCGUGGAGGGUCAUUGGAAACUGGGAGACUUGAGUGCAGAAGAGGAAAGUGGAAUUCCAUGUGUAGCGGUGAAAUGCGUAGAGAUAUGGAGGAACACCAGUGGCGAAGGCGACUUUCUGGUCUGUAACUGACACUGAGGCGCGAAAGCGUGGGGAGCAAACAGGAUUAGAUACC